ACUCCUACGGGAGGCAGCAGUGGGGAAUUUUGGACAAUGGGGGCAACCCUGAUCCAGCCAUGCCGCGUGAGUGAAGAAGGCCUUCGGGUUGUAAAGCUCUUUCGGACGGAAUGAAAUCGCACGGGCCAAUACCCCGUGUGGAUGACGGUACCGUAAGAAGAAGCACCGGCUAACUACGUGCCAGCAGCCGCGGUAAUACGUAGGGUGCGAGCGUUAAUCGGAAUUACUGGGCGUAAAGCGUGCGCAGGCGGUUUUGUAAGACAGACGUGAAAUCCCCGGGCUUAACCUGGGAACUGCGUUUGUGACUGCAAGACUAGAGUGCGGCAGAGGGGGGUAGAAUUCCACGUGUAGCAGUGAAAUGCGUAGAGAUGUGGAGGAAUACCGAUGGCGAAGGCAGCCCCCUGGGUCGACACUGACGCUCAUGCAUGAAAGCGUGGGGAGCAAACAGGAUUAGAUACCCUGGUAGUC
rnacentral:rRNA from 1 species